GACGAACGCUGGCGGCGUGCUUAACACAUGCAAGUCGAACGGUGACGAGGAGCUUGCUCCUCCGAUCAGUGGCGAACGGGUGAGUAACACGUGAGUAACCUGCCCCAGACUCUGGGAUAACAGUUGGAAACAGCUGCUAAUACCGGAUACGAGACGGAGAGGCAUCUCUACCGUCUGGAAAGUUUUUCGGUCUGGGAUGGACUCGCGGCCUAUCAGCUUGUUGGUGAGGUAAUGGCUCACCAAGGCGACGACGGGUAGCCGGCCUGAGAGGGCGACCGGCCACACUGGGACUGAGACACGGCCCAGACUCCUACGGGAGGCAGCAGUGGGGAAUAUUGCACAAUGGGCGAAAGCCUGAUGCAGCGACGCCGCGUGAGGGAUGACGGCCUCCGGGUUGUAAACCUCUUUCAGCAGGGAAGAAGCGAAAGUGACGGUACCUGCAGAAGAAGCACCGGCUAACUACGUGCCAGCAGCCGCGGUAAU
rnacentral:rRNA from 1 species